rnacentral:rRNA from 1 species
AACGAACGCUGGCGGCAUGCCUAACACAUGCAAGUCGAACGAGACCUUCGGGUCUAGUGGCGCACGGGUGCGUAACGCGUGGGAACCUGCCCUUAGGUUCGGAAUAACUCCCCGAAAGGGGUGCUAAUACCGGAUAAUGUCUUCGGACCAAAGAUUUAUCGCCUUUGGAUGGGCCCGCGUUGGAUUAGCUAGUUGGUAGGGUAAAAGCCUACCACGGCGACGAUCCAUAGCUGGUCUGAGAGGAUGAUCAGCCACACUGGGACUGAGACACGGCCCAGACUCCUACGGGAGGCAGCAGUGGGGAAUAUUGGACAAUGGGCGAAAGCCUGAUCCAGCAAUGCCGCGUGAGUGAUGAAGGCCUUAGGGUUGUAAAGCUCUUUUACCCGGGAUGAUAAUGACAAUACCGGGAGAAUAAGCUCCGGCUAACUCCGUG